rnacentral:rRNA from 1 species
CGCUGGCGGCACGCCUAACACAUGCAAGUCGAACGCAGUAGCAAUACUGAGUGGCAAACGGGUGAGUAUAAUGUGGGAAUCUGCCUUUUGGUUUGGAAUAACACGGGGAAACUUGUGCUAAUACCGGAUAAGCCYUUACGGGGAAAGUUUUAACGCCRAAAGAUGAGCCYGCACUUGAUUAGCUAGUUGGUAAGGUAAUWGCUUACCAAGGCUACGAUCAAUAGCUGAUCUUAGAGGAWGACCRCCCCCAUUGGGAC